CCUACGGGAGGCAGCAGUGGGGAAUAUUGCACAAUGGGGGAAACCCUGAUGCAGCGACGCCGCGUGCGUGAAGAAGUAAUUCGUUAUGUAAAGCUCUAUCAGCAGGGAAGAAAAUGACGGUACCUGAGUAAGAAGCCCCGGCUAACUACGUGCCAGCAGCCGCGGUAAUACGUAGGGGGCAAGCGUUAUCCGGUAUUACUGGGUGUAAAGGGUGAGUAGGCGUCAUGGUAAGACAGAUGUGAAAGCCUUGGGCUGAAACCGGGGAUUGAAUUUGAAACUAUCAAGCUAGAGUACAGGAGAGGAAAGCGGAAUUCCUAGUGUAGCGGUGAAAUGCGUAGAUAUUAGGAAGAACACCAGUGGCGAAGGCGGCUUUCUGGACUGAAACUGACGCUGAGGCACGAAAGCGUGGGGAGCAAACAGGAUUAGAUACCCCUGUAGUC
rnacentral:rRNA from 1 species